ACUCAGCUUCAUGUAGUCGGUCAUCUUGACCUUGCUCCCUCCAGAUGAGCUAGGUUUUGGUACUUGGGUUUCUGGGACAGUAGGUGCUGCUGGUGGUGGAGGAGGUGCAACAUCCCCUGGGGUAGGGUUUGUUGUACCUGGGUAGAAAGAUGGGGGUGGGUACAUAGGGUACUGUGGGUAUGGUGGGUAGAAAGGUGGGUAUGGCAUGUGUGAGUGGUAAGGGCUAAAGCUGGGGUAAUCCGAUGUACCUCCCAUCGAAUACCUGGGAUUCUGUGAAAAGGGUAGGUACUGGGGUGGCUGAACAAAUCCC
rnacentral:lncRNA from 1 species